CGCCUUCAUGAAGCCGGAAUUGCUAGUAAUGGCAGGUCAGCAUACUGCCGUGAAUACGUUCCCGGGCCUUGUACACACCGCCCGUCACACCAUGAGAGUUGGGAAUACCCGAAGCCUGUGAGCUAACGUAAGAGGCAGCAGUCGAAGGUAGAAUCAAUGAUUGGGGUGAAGUCGUAACAAGGUAUC
rnacentral:rRNA from 1 species